GACGAACGCUGGCGGCGUGCUUAAUACAUGCAAGUCGAGCGAGGUUACUGUUUCGGAUCCCUUCGGGGUGAAGAAGCUUUAACCUAGCGGCGGACGGGUGAGUAACGCGUGGGUAACCUACCCCAAAGUCCGGGAUAACAGCGGGAAACCGCUGCUAAUACCGGAUGCCUUUACCUUGGGGCAUCUUGAGGUAAAGAAAGGCAACGCUUUGGGAUGGGCCCGCGUCCCAUUAGCUAGUUGGUGAGGUAACGGCUCACCAAGGCGACGAUGGGUAGCCGGCCUGAGAGGGUGGACGGCCACACUGGGACUGAGACACGGCCCAGACUCCUACGGGAGGCAGCAGUAGGGAAUAUUGCGCAAUGGACGGAAGUCUGACGCAGCGACGCCGCGUGAGCGAUGAAGGUCUUCGGAUCGUAAAGCUCUGUCCUUGGGGAAGAAGGCGAAAGCUUGACGGUACCCCAAGAAGAAAGCCCCGGCUAACUACGUG
rnacentral:rRNA from 1 species